rnacentral:rRNA from 1 species
AACGCGAAGAACCUUACCAGCCCUUGACAUCCCGGUCGCGGACACCAGAGAUGGAGUCUUUCAGUUCGGCUGGACCGGAGACAGGUGCUGCAUGGCUGUCGUCAGCUCGUGUCGUGAGGUGUUGGGUUAAGUCCCGCAACGAGCGCAACCCUUACUCGUAGUUGCUACCCGCAAGGGAGAACUCUACGAGGACUGCUCCGGAUAACGGAGAGGAAGGUGGGGAUGACGUCAAGUCAGCACGGCCUUUAUGUCCAGGGCUACACACGUGUUACAAUGCACGGUACAGACUGUUGCGAACCCGCGAGGGGGAGCUAAUCGGAUAAAACCGUGCUCAGUUCGGAUUGCAGUCUGCAACUCGGCUGCAUGAAGCUGGAAUCGCUAGUAAUGGCGUAUCAGAUCGACGCCGUGAAUACGUUCCCGGGCCUUGUACACACCGACGCGUA